CGGGGAUUAGAAAAGUAGCCUGUGGUGGGUGAAAUUACGGUUCGGAGAAGGAAUAAAGGAACGCAUGACCUUAUAGAUUUUCAAUCUAUUAAAUUACCUCACUCAUUCAGCUUACCGGACGCUUUUUGCAUGGCUGAGAGUGUAGUUGUAUCAGUUUCAUGGUAAGUUAGACGAGCUUCCAUUAAAACUACAAAAGACUUCCAGAAGCAGGGUGGGAUAAUACGAAGAGAUACGAAC
rnacentral:sRNA from 12 species